rnacentral:rRNA from 1 species
UUAGCUGAGAGGUGGUGCAGUCGGCCGUCGUCAGUUCGUACUGUGAAGCAUCCUGUUAAGUCAGGCAACGAGCGAGACCCACGUCCACAGUUGCCAGCAUACCCUCCGGGGUGAUGGGUACACUGUGGAGACCGCCGCUGCUAAAGCGGAGGAAGGAGUGGGCAACGGUAGGUCAGUAUGCCCCGAAUCUCCCGGGCUACACGCGGGCUACAAUGGUUGGUACAAUGGGCAUCUACCCCGAAAGGGGAAGGAAAUCUCUUAAAGCCAAUCGUAGUUCGGAUUGAGGGCUGCAACUCGCCCUCAUGAAGCUGGAAUCCGUAGUAAUCGCGUUUCAACAGAACGCGGUGAAUACGUCCCUGCUCCUU